AUUGGAGGGCAAGUCUGGUGCCAGCAGCCGCGGUAAUUCCAGCUCCAAUAGCGUAUAUUAAAGUUGUUGUGGUUAAAAAGCUCGUAGUCGAACCUUGGGCCUGGCUGGCCGGUCCCCCUCACCGGGUGCACUGAUCCAGCCGGGCCUUUCCCUCUGUGGAACCCCAUGGCCUUCACUGGCUGUGCGGGGGAAACAGGACUUUUACUGUGAAAAAAUUAGAGUGCUCCAGGCAGGCCUAUGCUCGAAUACAUUAGCAUGGAAUAAUAGAAUAGGACGUGUGGUUCUAUUUUGUUGGUUUCUAGGACCGCCGUAAUGAUUAAUAGGGACAGUCGGGGGCAUCAGUAUUCAAUUGUCAGAGGUGAAAUUCUUGGAUCUAUUGAAGACUAACUACUGCGAAAGCAUUUGCCAAGGAUGUUUUCAUUGAUAAGGAACGAAAGUUAGGGGAUCGAAGACGAUCAGAUACCGUCGUAGUCUUAACUAUAAACUAUGCCGACUAGGGAUCGG
rnacentral:rRNA from 1 species